GGGAAGCAGUCAGUAGUUCCUUUUCCAGGUGUCUGUAGCUGUUAGGGUUUGCAUAGCUGUGGGCAGGCAGGCACGCCCGUGUCACUGCCAUCAUCCUUUGUGUGAUGGAGGGAAGUGUCUCUGUUUGCUGCUUGGCCUGGGCAAACGUGAUUUUAACAGCAAGGUACAGAUGAAGUGCUACAGGAAAUUACUGAAUUCUAAUUAAGAGAAGAGUCUGAGGAACUGGCUGCAAAGGCAACCCUUGUGAGCUGAGCAGGGAAGGAAGGUGCUGAAGGAAGGCAGGAGGGUUAUCCCCUCAUUACUGGUCACGUGCACUGCAGUGCUGCUGGAGGGAUCUGUCAGAUUUGGCUACGUUUGACUUAGGUGCUGCCCAAAGCUUAACAAAUGAUGGGGCUUGGAGUUCAGAAAGAGCUGUGAUAAGGGAAAGAUUCCACCUGCAACUAUCCCAACAGGUUUUCUUCUUCUCCUGACUAAAAGAAGAGAAAAGCAGAGGAGACAUGAUGUGGAGGAAUUCAGAAUGACCAAGAAAAAUCACAAUUUUCUCUGCUU